rnacentral:rRNA from 1 species
UACAGAGGGUGCGAGCGUUAAUCGGAAUUACUGGGCGUAAAGCGUGCGUAGACGGUUAUUUAAGUCGGGUGUGAAAGCCCCGGGCUCAACCUGGGAAUUGCAUUCGAGACUGAAUAGCUAGAGUACGGUAGAGGGAAGCGGAAUUUCCGGUGUAGCGGUGAAAUGCGUAGAUAUCGGAAGGAACAUCAGUGGCGAAAGCGGCUUCCUGGACCAGUACCGACGUUCAGGCACGAAAGCGUGGGGAGCAAACAGG